GCAGGCAAGCAAAGAGUGGUAAUCACAUCUACUGUUUUCUAUUGGUGCAUAGAGUCCUUGUUUUACUUCUUCUAGCACCAUGAGAAAGCAGUAUUUGUGAGACACCCCAAUCUUCUUUCUUCAU
rnacentral:precursor_RNA from 15 species